rnacentral:rRNA from 1 species
UACGUAGGGGGCAAGCGUUGUCCGGAUUUAUUGGGCGUAAAGAGCGUGUAGGCGGCCUGACAAGUCUGCUGUGAAAACUCGAGGCUCAACCUCGAGAUGUCGGCGGAAACUGUCUGGCUAGAGUCCGGAAGAGGAGAGUGGAAUUCCUGGUGUAGCGGUGAAAUGCGUAGAGAUCAGGAAGAACAUCGGUGGCGAAGGCGCUCUGCUGGACCAUAACUGACACUCAGGGACGAAAGCUAGGGGAGCGAAUGGG